rnacentral:siRNA from 1 species
CGUCAAUGUCCGCCAUCAUCCU